GGGUGCUCUUGGCUUUUUAGCAAGAGCAUGGAAAUGCUGUUAUGUAACUUGCUAGAAAGUUGAAAGCCCCGAAUGAACUAUAAAUUCAAACGAGGCCUACAAUGUACCUAAGCAAUACAAAUAGUAGCCUCUUUACUUUUAGGAGGCAAGAUAUGCCGAAAAG
rnacentral:antisense_RNA from 16 species